GUGCCAGACUCCUACGGGAGGCAGCAGUGGGGAAUAUUGGGCAAUGGGCGCAAGCCUGACCCAGCAACGCCGCGUGAAGGAAGAAGGCUUUCGGGUUGUAAACUUCUUUUCUGAGGGACGAAGCAAGUGACGGUACCUUAGGAAUAAGCCACGGCUAACUACGUGCCAGCAGCCGCGGUAAUACGUAGGUGGCAAGCGUUAUCCGGAUUUACUGGGUGUAAAGGGCGUGUAGCCGGGCUGACAAGUCAGAUGUGAAAUCCGGGGGCUCAACCCCCGAACUGCAUUUGAAACUGUUGGUCCUGAGUAUCGGAGAGGCAGGCGGAAUUCCUAGUGUAGCGGUGAAAUGCGUAGAUAUUAGGAGGAACACCAGUGGCGAAGGCGGCCUGCUGGACCGUGACUGACGUUGAGGCUCGAGAGCGUGGGGAGCAAACAGGAUUAGAUACCCUGGUA
rnacentral:rRNA from 1 species